UCGGACUGUAGGCUGCAACUCGCCUACACGAAGUUGGAAUUGCUAGUAAUCGUGGAUCAGCAUGCCACGGUGAAUACGUUCCCGGGUCUUGUACACACCGCCCGUCACACCAUGGGAGCUGGUAACACCCGAAGUCAGUAGUCUAACCGCAAGGAGGACGCUGCCGAAGGUGGGAUUAGCGACUGGGGUGAAGUCGUAACAAGGUAAC
rnacentral:rRNA from 1 species